GCUAUAUGUGAAUACAUAGCUCUUUGUAACAUUCUUCACUUGGAAGAUUGAGACUCUUCAAGAUACCAGUGUCCUGUCAGUUUAAGGGUACAUUGUAGAGCUGAACUUUGAGUUACUGGCCAAAUUUUUUUUUCAUGCUGUCAUUUGUAAUAUGUUUUGUAAGAAUCCCUGGGAUUAUAGUUUUGGUUACAAA